GAUAUGGAUUUAGAGUGCAUAUUUGAGACUUCCAAACAGUAAACAAAAACGUAACUUAUGGGUGAGUGUUUUUAGCAGAGCCAUAUAAUGUCCUUGUGAUUCUGUUGAUUAUUACCUGUCUGUAUUAUGUUGCAGCUCAGCUGAUUUUGGAUUGAUGGCAAAGGGAGAGGGACUUAAGUGAGAGUGAAAACACAAGCACAAGAACCCCAGGGGGAUUCAAUGGAGCCUGAAGACCUGCAAUGAGACCCUCACCCUGCACCUGAGUCUCAACUCCCAGAGUUUUGCAAGCCUCUCCCUGUUCCUUAUUUUUAUUAAACAGACAUUAAGCUUC